rnacentral:rRNA from 1 species
GAUGAACGCUAGCUACAGGCUUAACACAUGCAAGUCGAGGGGUCUUGACGGAGCUUGCUCUUGAUAGACGACCGGCGCACGGGUGAGUAACGCGUAUCCAACCUGCCCUUCAUAUUGGGAUAGCCUUCCGAAAGGGAGAUUAAUACCGAAUAACAUAUCAAGAUUGCAUGAUAUUGAUAUGAAAGAUCCGUCGAUGAAGGAUGGGGAUGCGUUUCAUUAGGUAGUAGGCGGGGUAACGGCCCACCUAGCCAACGAUGAAUAGGGGUUCUGAGAGGAAGGUCCCCCACACUGGAACUGAGACACGGUCCAGACUCCUACGGGAGGCAGCAGUGAGGAAUAUUGGUCAAUGGGCGCAAGCCUGAACCAGCCAAGUAGCGUGAAGGAUGACUGCCCUAUGGGUUGUAAACUUCUUUUUUACGGGAACAAAUGUUGCUACGUGUAGCAAUUUGCGUGUACCGUACGGAUAAGCAUCGGCUAACUCCGUGCCAGCCGCCGCCGUAACAC